CCGGUUAGAUAAGUCAAGCAUAUACCUAAUUAAUUGCGUCGCGCGCCGACGUCAGAAAUCGCCUCUCCUCAUCGGCGGCGUCGACGUAUACGAUUUGUAUCAUUCUACAUUGACUGGAGUUUUCCAUUACUUUUUAUUUUUUCCCAGAUAUACGGCCAAUUCAGAAGCAGAAAACAGUUCCAAGAUUGUAUUCGAAUUCUCAUUCUAUAUUGAUGGAAGCAACAGGGAUAACAUGAGCACCUUUGGAAGUGCAACAGGGAUCCCAAUGAAGAAGUUACUAGCAGAAGAGAUGUUGAAUCCAAGAGAAGAUCACCAAGCGUUAUUCCCAGAUUAAUGGGUCUUGAAGGGCUGCCAUCCCCUCGACAUGUUCAUAGACAACAAAAGAUGUUCCCAGAGAACUACCAACAGAAAGGCAUUUCAAUUAACAACCAAAGUAGCAAACAAUAUGAUAGCGGAUCGAAGCAGAGAAGUAGCCACCUCAUCUGCCAUGGUUCUUUGUAUGAUAGCUCAAAUGCAAUUUGAUGGUCGCUAUGUUCUGAUGAAGCAAAAGAUAUUAAACUGAAGUUUUGCUAUCUUCUCAUGCACCUCCAUCAUAUAAAGAUUUGGACAUAGAUGAUUUGUAAACCCAUGUUGGCAACCGCUGAUGUUCGCUGAUGUUUUAGAUUGCAUCUCUAAAUACCUCUUUUUUCUAAAGCUAAUCGGCAAAAUGUUUCUAAAGCGCAAUAUAUUAUUAAUUUGAAUAUUUAUUUCACA